rnacentral:rRNA from 1 species
UGGUGGAGUGUGCACGAGUGAGAAUGCAGGCAUGAGUAGCGAAAGACGGGUGAGAAACCCGUCCGCCGGAUGACUAAGGGUUCCAGGGUCAAGCUAAUCUGCCCUGGGUAAGUCGGGACCUAAGGCGAGGCCGACAGGCGUAGUCGAUGGACAACGGGUUGAUAUUCCCGUACCAGUGAAGAA